rnacentral:misc_RNA from 1 species
AUAUGAUUUAGUCUUCCUUUUAAACUGCUGUGUCGACCUUGUUUCAUUUACAAGUGUAAUGAUGAUGCCGCACCUCCAAUCCCCCACCCGUAUCUGGGGAUCACAAGGAUGCCGGCGGCGGCGGGGGGAACGGCACCUCCACGAGCCCUUCGAGCAUCAGGAUGACGCUCCUCAUGUCGGGCCUCGCCUGGGGCUCCGCCUGCGCGCACCACACUGCCACCUUAACCGCCCGCUCCACCUCCGUGACGUCCACGGCAUCGUCGCCGCCAACCACCCGCCACACCUCGCCGCGCACCAACCACUCGUGCGCGCACUCCAUGAGCGUCCGCUCCUCGCCUGCCUCCUCCAGCUCCAUGCUCCGCCGGCACGUCACGAUUUCCAGCAGCACCACGCCGUAGCUGUACACGUCCGCCUUCACCGUCACGGGCCCGGCGCCGCGGUACCACUCGGGGGCCAGGUACCCGCGCGUGCCGCGCACCCCCGUGAACGUCCGCGUCUGCUCCGGCUGCAGCAGCUUGGCCAGCCCGAAGUCGGCGAUCUUGGCCGUCCCCGACGCGUCCAUCAGGAUGUUCUGCGGCUUCACGUCGCAGUGGAUCACCCGGCUGUCCAGCUCGUCAUGGAGGUAGCGCAGCCCGCGUGCGACGUCCAGCGCGAUGCCCAUCCGCUCGUCCCACCCCGGCGGGCCCCCGCCGCCGCUGUUCUUGAACAGACGCUCCGCCAGCGACCCGUUGCUCAUGUACUCGUACACCAGCAGCCGGUUGGCGCCCUCGUGACAGAACCCCAGCAGCCGGACCAGGUUCCGGUGGCUCGUCCGCCCGAUGGCGCGCACCUCCCGCUGGAACUCCAACUCCCCCUCCUCCACCAUUUUCUCCAGCCGCUUCACCGCGAUCGCCUUCUCGCCGCCGCUGUAAAGCAGCGUGCCUCGGAACACCGUGCCGAACGCGCCGCGGCCCAGCGGCUCGCGGAAGCUCCACGUCGCGUGAUCCAGCUCCUGGUAGCUGUACGACCUCAGGGGCGCCUCCUCGUCCAGCGCCUCCGCCGCGUC